GGGGAAUAUUGCGCAAUGGGGGAAACCCUGACGCAGCAAUACCGCGUGAGUGAAGAAGGUUUUCGGAUCGUAAAGCUCUGUUAUUGGGGAAGAAAAAAAGACGGUACCCAAGAAGAAAGUACCGGCUAACUACGUGCCAGCAGCCGCGGUAAUACGUAGGGGACAAGCGUUGUCCGGAUUUACUGGGCGUAAAGGGCACGCAGGCGGUUUUUUAAGUCAGAUGUGAAAACCCCGGGCUUAACUUGGGGACUGCAUUUGAGACUGGAUAUCUAGAGUGCAGGAGAGGAAAUCGGAAUUCCUAGUGUAGCGAUGAAAUGCGUAGAGAUUAGGAAGAACACCAGUGGCGAAGGCGGCUUUCUGGACUGUAACUGACGCUGAGGGACGAAAGCGUGUGUAGCAAACA
rnacentral:rRNA from 2 species